UACGUAGGGUGCAAGCGUUAAUCGGAAUUACUGGGCGUAAAGCGUGCGCAGGCGGUUGUGCAAGACAGAUGUGAAAUCCCCGGGCUUAACCUGGGAACUGCAUUUGUGACUGCAUUGCUGGAGUGCGGCAGAGGGGGAUGGAAUUCCGCGUGUAGCAGUGAAAUGCGUAGGUAUGCGGAGGAACACCGAUGGCGAAGGCAAUCCCCUGGGCCUGCACUGAGCGCUCAUGCACGAAAGCGUGGGGAGCAAACAGG
rnacentral:rRNA from 1 species